UACAGAGGUGGCAAGCGUUGUUCGGAAUUACUGGGCGUAAAGCGCACGUAGGCGGCUUUGUAAGUUAGAGGUGAAAGCCCGGGGCUCAACUCCGGAAUUGCCUUUAAGACUGCAUCGCUAGAAUUGUGGAGAGGUAAGUGGAAUUCCGAGUGUAGAGGUGAAAUUCGUAGAUAUUCGGAAGAACACCGGUGGCGAAGGCGGCUCACUGGCCCGUAACUGACGCUCAUGCACGACAGCGUGGGGAUCAAACAGG
rnacentral:rRNA from 1 species